rnacentral:lncRNA from 1 species
GCUUUAUUUCUUUUCCAAAAGGUGCUUUAUUUCUUUUCCAAGCCCAUCUUUAUAAUUCUAGUGUACAUAUUGAUCCGGUACCUAAAUUAUUCAAUAGCCAUAUUUGCAUUGAGCGUGAAUGUGACUUUGAAAUUUUAGAAAACCAAACAACUUGGAUAAGGUAGUUGAUUCCGUGUGUGGAAUAAAAGAAACUUAUCUCAAAACACUGACUUUAAACGCAAGCUCAUCGGUAUACAUAUGUCCGAAAUGAACUCAUUUUUCUUUUACCACAAGAAUUCUGAAGUCUUAGAGCCCCCAACCCCAAGGUAUAUGGGUACUUUCUUUUCUUGUUAAUUAAGGCAUGAUUUGAUUUGCUAGCUUUGUGUUGUGCACAGUAUCAGAGAUAACUAUAUCUAUUAUCCUGUAUAUUCUUAUUUUUUGUGGCCAUCGGAUGCAUGCAGGUGGUGACACAAUGGAAACAAUUCACGUAAAAGAGUCAACAAUAAUACGGCCUGCUCAAGAAACCCCCAGACAUUGCCUACGGUUGAGUGAUUUAGACCUGCUGAUGCCGGCAAGUCACAUCCCCAGUGUGUAUUUCUACCGAGGGCCAAAUUACCCUUGCAAUUUCUUUGAAGGUGGUUUACUGAAGGAGGCUUUGAGUAAAGUUCUUGUCCCGUUUUACCCCUUGGCCGGAAGAUUGGGUAAAGAUGAAAAUGGCAGAAUUGAAAUAAAAUGCAAAGGAGAGGGAGUUUUAUUUAUUGAAGCUGAAACGAGUUAUGUCACUGAUGAUUUUGGUGACUUUGAAUCAAGCUCGAAGCUCGUGCAACUUGUUCCACCUGUUGAUCGCACGAAAGAUGCAUGUUUUCAUCCACUUAUUAUGGCACAGGUAGAAGAAUAAGAAUAAAAAGAGAGCUCGUGUAUUUCCUCAUUUUAUUAAAAAUGAAAUUAGGAGCUAUUCCAUCAAAAGAAUUAUUCAUAAUACUCACUCAAACUUAGUCACUUUAUUUCUUUAUAGGUAACUCAUUUUAAGUGUGGAGGAGUUUCUCUUGGACUUAUGAUGCAUCAUCUGCCAAUGGACGGAACUACGGCAUAUCACUUCAUGAACUCAUGGGCUGAGAUGUCGCGUGGCAUUCCUAUUAGCGUUCCACCAAUCUUUGAUCGAACUAUACUAGAUGUUGGAGUCCCAACUUCUCCAUCAUUUCACCACAUCGAACACGAUCCCCCUCCUUUCAUGAAUAGUCCUACUCAAAAUCCUCAAGCCAUUUCCACUGCAAUCCUGAAAUUAUCACCUGAUCAAAUGAACAUCCUUAAAGAAAAAUCUAAGGGAGAUCACGGAUCCACCGUCAAGUAUACUAGAUUUGAGAUUGUAGCAGCACAUAUAUGGCGCUGCGCAUGUAAAGCACGAGGGUUGUCUAUUGAUCAAGCUACCAAGUUAGAGAUUCCCACAUCUGGGCGAUUUAAAUUGAAUCCUAAAAUUCCACUUGGGUAUUGUGGCAAUGUAAACUUCAGCGCCACACCAAUGGCCUUGUCAGGUGAUAUUCAAUCGGAAUCGUUAAAUUGUACAACAGAGAGAAUUCAUGAAGCAAUUAAAUUGAGGGAUGACAAGUAUAUGAAGUCAGGGCUUGCCUACCUAAAGCAACAACCUGAUUUAACAGUUAUCAGGCGAGACCCCAAAAUUAUUAAUUGUCCAAACCUGCUGAUAACCAAAGUAGCAGACAUGCCUAUGUACGAGGUAGAUUUUGGAUGGGGUCGGCCGGUGUUUACGACGCCUUGGGCCGCCGUGGACGGAGAGAUUUUCAUUUUACCUGGUCCAACCAAUGAUGGGAGCUGGUUGGUGGUUGUAGACAUGGAAACUAACCACUUGCAGCACUUCAACAAGUAUUUUUAUGAUAUCUUUCCGUAAUCCCACGAUGUAAUAAUGUCUUUGGGUGGAUACUUACGAUUGGGUCCGCCUUCGUUACACUUAAUGUAACUUACGGUGAGUCUGUGAAGUUUCAUCUAAUCUCCUAUGUUCUAUGUAAUUUAUAUUUUAUUCAUGAAUAUUAUAAACUUUUUGAAAUGUCAAAUUUCGUUUAACCCCUUAUACUCAAUUUUAUUUUAUUGAAAUCUUAGAGUAUGAAUUCGCCUCUAUAAUUUUAAACUCUCAAAAUAAUUUUUAUUUAAUUAAAAAAUAUAAUUAUUGUUAAAUGAAUUAUAAUUAUAAUUAUUAUUUUAUUAUAAUCAUAAACUGCUGUACUAUAAUCAUAAAUAUUUUUUAAAUAAAUUAUUAUUAUUAUUAAUAAUAAGAAUAAAAGAUAUUAUAAUUAAUUAAUCUAUUAACAAUAAUUAAUAAUAUUUUUUAACCCGUAAACACCGGCCGACCCCAUGCAAAAUCUACCUCGUACAUAGGCAUGUCUGCUACUUUGGUUAUCAGCAGGUUUGGACAAUUGACCCUCUUAUUAUUUGCUGAUAUGUUUCUAAUAAUGAACCCCCUUUUGUCCUUUUGAAAUGAUUAAUGAAGUGCUUGAGUGCAUUGAAGUUAUUUUAAAAGUACACAUAAAGAUUUGACAUUUACUUAUUUUUUAAAAAUAAAAAAGCAGGUAAAAUUUAAAUUAAUUUUUUAUUUCUUAUUUUUUAAUUCAGAUUGUCAAUUGAAUCCAUUUGUUAAAAAAUUAUUUAAUUAUCUCUUUAUGUUCGAACGAUGAUGACUUUAAAUAAUAAUUCUUACAAAUCACUCAAUUAAGUCCACCGGGCCAAUUAAAUAUUAUUUGUUUAUAUUAAUUUUAAUUCAAUUGAAAUUCCAUAGUAAUUUAACCUAAAGUUUAACACUCACAAAUAAUUUAUAGUUCAUUGUAAUUCCACAAAAUUAUUAGUUCUUGUAAUUUAAAUUAUUUUAAGGAAUUGAAUCAUAAUAUUUUGAAUUUAAUUCAAUCUUUCACGUGACUUUGUUGAAUAAAACUGACGGAUGUGUUUUAUAUAUUUAAAUUGUUAGGAUUUUUUUAAUUUAAAUUGUUAGAAAGUAAUGGAUUAAAUUUAUAGCAAUUUCUGGAUGUGUUUUAUGUAUGUUAGGAUUUUUCUAAUUUAAAUUGUUGGAGAUAAUGGAAUAAAUUAUAAAAAUUUGUGGGUGUGUUUUAUAUAUUUAAAUUGUUAUGUUAAUGGACAAAAUGUUAUAAAAGUUUCUAAUUACUUAUUCUUAAUACAAAUGUUAAUUAUUUUGUAGAAAUGGAGAAUUUGGAAAAUGAGCAUGCAUUUGAAGAGUUGCAAGAAACAAGAGCCAACAAUGUAGAUAAAAUUAUGCAACCGAAAAAAUAUGACCCAACUCUUGGGAUAUUAUUUAAUAGUCAUGAAAAAAUGUUUGCAUUUUACAAAGUCUAUGAUAAAUAAGAAGGGUUCCUGUAAAGGUUCGAACUACUAAGAAAGUGACUGAUGAAAUUGUAAAAUAUGCGACAUUUGCAUGUGGUCGUAGCGACAAGUUAGAAAGGAAAUCUGUUAAUGCAUUGAAGCCGAAACCUAAUGUGAAAAAUGGUUGUGAUGCAAAAAUUGGAGGUUGUCUAAAUGAAGAAGGAAAAUGGGUCCUUCGAACUUUAAAUCUUCAACACAACCAUGGAUUGAGUCCAGACAAAGCUAGGUAUUACACAAAAUCAAACAAAUUAACGAACUAAAAUAGUUCCUCUAUGGAAGGAAAGUGAGAGGGAGAGAGUAUAUACAAAUGAGAGGUGACGGCAAAAGAAAUUUGCAAAAGAAAGUCUGCAAAAUUUGUAGAUCUAUUGGCUUUGUGCUGCAUCGACGGCAAAGGAAAAUCUACAAGGUUGGUUGGCAUGGUCACGGUAGAGAAGAGAUAAGGUUGGUUAGCCGGUUCUGUGAUGGUAGAGAAGAGAUAAAAAAAUCGUAAAAUUGAUUUUGUGAAAGACAAUUAGAGAUAAAGUAGAGACGGUUGAGAAGAAAUAAGGUUUGAUCUGAUAUCCUUUUCAGACUUCUCUUUUAUUUUUUUAUUAAUAUUUAUUUUUUUUUUAAAGUAACUAUGGGCCCAUGAAGAGAAAAUGAUAAGUGAACGAAACGCAACGAGUGGCUUUAUUUCUUUUUCGAGCCCGUUUUAUAAUUAAAGUGUACAUAUUGAUUAGGUGGCUAAAUUAUUCAAUAACCAUAUUUAAAUGUAGCGCAGCGUGAAUGUUACUUUGAAAUUUUAGAAAAUCAAACAACUUGGAUAAGGUAAUUGAUUCCGCGUGUGGAAUAAAAAAAACUUAUCUCAAAAUAUUGGCUUUAAACGCAAGUUCAUCGGUAUACAUAUGUCCGAAAUGAACUCAUUUUUCAUUUACCAUAAGAAUUCUGAAGUCUUAGAGCUCCCAACCCCCAGGUAUAUGGGUACUUUCUUUUCUUGCUAAUUAAGGCAUAAUUUGAUUUGUGUUGUGCAUAGUAUCAGAGUUAACUAUAUCUAUUAUCCUGUAUAUUCUUAUUUUUCGUGGCCAUCGGAUGCAUGCAGGUGGUGACACAAUGGAAACAAUUCACGUAAAAGAGUCAACAAUAAUACGGCCUGCUCAAGAAACCCCCAGACAUUGCCUACGGUUGAGUGAUUUAGACCUGCUGAUGCCGGCAAGUCACAUCCCCAGUGUGUAUUUCUACCGAAUUACUUAUUCUUAAUACAAAUGUUAAUUAUUUUGUAGAAAUGGAGAAUUUGGAAAAUGAGCAUGCAUUUGAAGAGUUGCAAGAAACAAGAGCCAACAAUGUAGAUAAAAUUAUGCAACCGAAAAAAUAUGACCCAACUCUUGGGAUAUUAUUUAAUAGUCAUGAAAAAAUGUUUGCAUUUUACAAAGUCUAUGAUAAAUAAGAAGGGUUCCUGUAAAGGUUCGAACUACUAAGAAAGUGACUGAUGAAAUUGUAAAAUAUGCGACAUUUGCAUGUGGUCGUAGCGACAAGUUAGAAAGGAAAUCUGUUAAUGCAUUGAAGCCGAAACCUAAUGUGAAAAAUGGUUGUGAUGCAAAAAUUGGAGGUUGUCUAAAUGAAGAAGGAAAAUGGGUCCUUCGAACUUUAAAUCUUCAACACAACCAUGGAUUGAGUCCAGACAAAGCUAGGUAUUACACAAAAUCAAACAAAUUAACGAACUAAAAUAGUUCCUCUAUGGAAGGAAAGUGAGAGGGAGAGAGUAUAUACAAAUGAGAGGUGACGGCAAAAGAAAUUUGCAAAAGAAAGUCUGCAAAAUUUGUAGAUCUAUUGGCUUUGUGCUGCAUCGACGGCAAAGGAAAAUCUACAAGGUUGGUUGGCAUGGUCACGGUAGAGAAGAGAUAAGGUUGGUUAGCCGGUUCUGUGAUGGUAGAGAAGAGAUAAAAAAAUCGUAAAAUUGAUUUUGUGAAAGACAAUUAGAGAUAAAGUAGAGACGGUUGAGAAGAAAUAAGGUUUGAUCUGAUAUCCUUUUCAGACUUCUCUUUUAUUUUUUUAUUAAUAUUUAUUUUUUUUUUAAAGUAACUAUGGGCCCAUGAAGAGAAAAUGAUAAGUGAACGAAACGCAACGAGUGGCUUUAUUUCUUUUUCGAGCCCGUUUUAUAAUUAAAGUGUACAUAUUGAUUAGGUGGCUAAAUUAUUCAAUAACCAUAUUUAAAUGUAGCGCAGCGUGAAUGUUACUUUGAAAUUUUAGAAAAUCAAACAACUUGGAUAAGGUAAUUGAUUCCGCGUGUGGAAUAAAAAAAACUUAUCUCAAAAUAUUGGCUUUAAACGCAAGUUCAUCGGUAUACAUAUGUCCGAAAUGAACUCAUUUUUCAUUUACCAUAAGAAUUCUGAAGUCUUAGAGCUCCCAACCCCCAGGUAUAUGGGUACUUUCUUUUCUUGCUAAUUAAGGCAUAAUUUGAUUUGUGUUGUGCAUAGUAUCAGAGUUAACUAUAUCUAUUAUCCUGUAUAUUCUUAUUUUUCGUGGCCAUCGGAUGCAUGCAGGUGGUGACACAAUGGAAACAAUUCACGUAAAAGAGUCAACAAUAAUACGGCCUGCUCAAGAAACCCCCAGACAUUGCCUACGGUUGAGUGAUUUAGACCUGCUGAUGCCGGCAAGUCACAUCCCCAGUGUGUAUUUCUACCGACGGCCAAAUUACCCUUCCAAUUUGUUUGAAGGUGGUUUACUGAAGGAGGCUUUGAGUAAAGUUCUUGUCCCGUUUCACCCAUUGGCCGGAAGAUUGGGUAAAGAUGAAAAUGGCAGAAUUGAAAUAAAAUGUAACGGAAAGGGAGUUUUAUUUAUUGAAGCUGAAACGAGUUGUGUCACUGAUGAUUUUGGUGACUUUGAAUCAUGCUUGAAGCUCGUGCAACUUGUUCCACCUGUUGAUCGCACGAAAGAUGCAUAUUUUCAUCCACUUAUUAUGGCACAGGUAGAAGAAUAAGAAUAAAAAGAGAGCUCGUGUGUUUCCUCAUUUUAUUAAAAUGAAAUUGAGAGCUACUCCAUCAAAAGAAUUAUUCAUAAUACUCACUCAAACUUAGUCACUUUAUUUC